GUAUUUAUAGUUUAAUUAAAACAUUAGAUUGUGGUUCUAAAAAUAAAGUUAAAGUCUUUUUAUUUACC
rnacentral:tRNA from 1 species